CUUUCUUUUCUUUCCUUUUUUGUAGAAUGUUUCACCAUCAAAGUGCGAACAUAAACAGGUCUCUGUCUUCGUUUUGACCACGUCGGUAGCAGGUCACAACAACUCUGGCAGAUGCAAAGACCAGGCUUGACUUCUUCUACUCCAAGGCUGAUCAUGCUUGGAGAUUAAAUUCUACACAGCAAAAAAUGGAUGCUGGCGAUCGAAGGCAAAGUCUUCUUUCCUGUGAUUGACCUACCAGAUAUGUCCUCUGCAUUUGCUGUUCUCUUCGGUUGCUAUUAUGUGCAUAACAUCAUGUACCAAGUGGAAGCAGCCACUACUUUGGAGUUUAUUCAGAUGUAAG